AAUUUAAGUACAUAUACAUAAAUAUACUAUAUCCAGCGAUAUCGCAUCGGGUAAUGGGUUUUGUAUCUCAUAAAUUAUCCGCUGCAAAGUUGUGUGCUUUGCGGAUUCUGAAAACAAGCUUAGCUAAGUACCAUGCUAUACAGGGUGGAAGAGAUAGAUAGGGUCGCGAAGGCCGGUACUAAAACCGUUACAACUACAGAAAAACUAUAUCUUAGGGAGCCCCCUCGAUUGACGUAUCACCUGUUCUUCAUAUACCUACGCCUACCCUGAAAAGUCAGACUGACGCUAGUCUGACUGGCCAAUCCUUUAGUCACUGUGACCCCAAGAAGAAGAUGGUCUUUGACAAAGGCAUAGCAUGAAUAAUAAGCCAUAUCGGUUGGUUUCUUCAGCUCUCUCAGUCGAAUCACAUAGUGGUAACAAGCGAUUUCUCAAUACUUGUAUCGCAUUAUCUCAGUUUUCGAUUCGUUUCCACACACUGGUACAAUACUUGUUGUUUCGCAAACAGUCACUUUGUUAAAGUUUUUUUUUUCACAUCUUUAAAAACCCGGCAUUGUUCUCAUGAGAAGGUGUAAUAAGUGUACAUUAAUGGCUGCACAAUGGUCCACAUUGUGUCUUAUGAGUUUUGACUCGGUUUAGCAUUUUCGUGUUGGUAUUGUUUGCGCAAGACAUACAUUUAUCAUGGAGAACGAAGUCUGGAUAAAAGUUAUCUUUGAUAAAACAUGAAGCUGUUUCUUUCUAAAAUAUAAUUUCGGGGAGUGUAAUAGGCAUUAUUCUUAUCCCACCGAUAUAACCUCUGUCCCGACAUCGUGAAACACGCGGUAUCGUUAUAAACGUCGCCGUCUUAAGAAGUUGAUAUCGUGUAAAAAUGCUUGUAAUAAAUCAAUAGCAAGAAAGAGCCAAGUAUAAAAUAUGCCACGUGCCCUGCAAUGUGACCCGAAUGACCCCUUAUCACUUUGUUGAUAAUUUCAACGGAUAGCCAUUAUAAGCCAUUAGCUACUUUAUGUAUUUGACCUACACAAGUGGGUGCCCCCGCCUAGAUGUCAAACGUUGUGGUGCAAAACUACUGUGCAAUUCUGCUACUGUAAUUUGUAAGGAAUACCUACUCAGCAGCCUGACCACGAAUAUCAUCGUUUAAAUGUUGUACUUUAUAAUAAUUUAAGUGAGGAAAAAUAUUUUUUGUCAUACUGGUUAAAUGAAAGUUGGACGUCGUUCUAUCGUAUAAUAAAUACGUAAUUAUCAUAGUUAGGCAUUUAUUUUACGAUAGAAACAUUUAAUUAUGAGGAUCAGAACUGUGAAAUUAAUAAAUUUUGUACGUAAAUUGUCAAAACAAAACACAUAUUAUAAAAGUAUAGGAAAAAAAGCAACUAAUAAUGAAAUAAAAACUGUUGAUAAAUAGAAGCGUUCUUGUUUUAAAGUACCAUUAAUUAAGUAUCGUAGAAGUUGCGUGUCGCAUGAUUACAGUCAUUGAAAGUCUCGAAAUUGAUUGACAGUUAUUUAUCUUAUAACCUGUUCUAAAGAUGAUUAUUUGAUUGCUUUUUACAAUGAUAAAACUAAUUAUCAAAGUCUUUUAUUCUAGACCGGGUAACAUGGCAGCUUUAUCGAAGCAGAGAAACUCGUUUAAUGUGCGAGCAAACACAUUGUCAUGUUUAUCGCGAAUCGCGGCACAGUGGCUUUUAUCUUCGUCGUUAAAUGUGCCGUGCAGCGGGGACAGUGGGGCCAAUAAAAACAAGUUCCC